UAAGUGAAGGAAUAUUAGUGUACAAAUGUCACAAUUGUAUUGAACAUUGUCCAUGUCAGCUAAAAGCUGUUGGAUUGGCUGAAGUUUGUUAGGAGUCAGUUAGUUUGUUAGUUGGUUGUAACGGCUAAUAAGCCUUGGGUUUGCUGCUAUAUAUAGCAGUGUGUAAUCUCUCUCUCUCUCAAUGAAUUGAAAGCUCAACAGUUUAUUCUUCUUCUUCUCUCUCUCUACUGCUAAAGUUCUCUCUCUAAAGCUUCAAUCUUGAUCUCUUCUUCGUCCUUCAUCUUUUUAUUUUUUUCAUCUGUUAAUAUGGUAUCGAGCCAGCAAUUUUGUUGUGGUUCGUUGGUUUUUGGGGCUCUCUGAUUGGCUUCUAGGAUCUCUUCUUGGAGUUUGAAAGCUACGAUUUGCAUCAAUGGCGGUGGGCAAUUGGCGGUUGGCAGUUGGCAUUUGACGAUUUGAGAUCUAUUUUUUGGAGAAUUAAAGCUUCGAUCAGGUGAUAUGGCUCUUAUGUUUCUCGAUUAAUCCAUUUCUCAAGUAUUUCUCUGUGCUAUAUGGAAUUCUGGUUUCUGGGUUUCUGGUUGUGCUAUGAUAAAGUAAAUCUUGUAGUGUAGUCUAUGAUUUUUGUGUGUCAUUCAAUAGUUAAAGUUUGAGGCACGAAGCCAUUAGUAGUUAAAGAUUUGUGGGCACGAAGCCAUUGAUUGAUAAUCUUGAAGUUCUUGUAGUUAUUUGGUUGAAGGCAAGAAGCCAUUUCUGUGAUUUUCUGCUCUUUGUGAAGAUUCGUUGGCACGAAGCUGUUUCUGAAUAUUUCUUGAUAGUUUGAGUUUUUCUAGUUGUAUAAAGAUGGCAUCAUCAUCAUCAGUGAAAAUAGAAGGGUUGUUGGGAAUGUUAACCAUAAAGUUAACUGAUAAGAACUUUUCUAAGUGGGUUUUUCAAUUCAAGUCUGUUAUAAAAGGAUAUAAAUUGUUUGAUCACUUUGAUGGCACUGCUAUUUGUCCACCAAAGUUUGUUAUACACACUGAGCAUGGAGUUACAAGUGAAAUUACAAAUGCUUAUCUUGAAUGGGAGUCAACUAAUUUGGCAUUGUUAAGUUUGCUUAUGGCAACAUUAUCUGAUGAAUCUAGAAAGCAUGUUCUAGGAUGUAAAAAUGCACAUGAGGCAUGUAUUAGUCUACAAGAUAGAUAUGCUUCCAUUUCUAAAGCAAAAGUGAACACACUUAAGAAAGAAUUUCAAACUAUAUAAAAAUGGGCUAAUUCAAUUGACCAAUAUUUGUCUAGGCUCAAGAAUAUUAAAGAACAGUUGCUUGCUGCUAGAGAAUUUGUGUUAGGCAAUGACUUUGUUGUUGCUGCUUUUUCUGGUUUACCAAUGGAGUAUUCAACCAUAAGGAUUGUCAUACUUACAAAGGAUACUUCAAUUUCCUUAAGAGAGUUUAGGGAACAGUUGCUCUGUGCAGAAAGAGAAUGAGUCUAUGGUUAAUAGUCUGUUAAACAAUUUCUCUUGUUUGUAUAUGCAAGGAUCUGUUAGUUCAUCAUUGUCAUAGGGUUCUGGUAUGUCACAAGACUUUGGUAUGUUUCAGGGAUCUUCAAGUUGUUAUGAUGGUAUACCAUUCUCUAUUAGUGGUACAAUUACAAGAGUUCAAAAUGGUAUUCCAAGCUUUCGGGUGUCAUCUAUGCCUUAUCCACAGCAAGGACAAAGUAACCGAGGUUGUAAUCUACCAAGGAAUGAGUAAUGAUUGUGAGUUGUUUCGGAUACCAACAAAGCUACUUACAAAGGGUCUAGUGUCUUCAGCAAAGGAGUCUAUGGGGUUGCUUGGUCCAAAAGUGAAGUCUAUAUUAUGGCAUCAAAGGUGUGGUCAUCAUAGCAAUGAAGUACUAUUUGCAAUGUUGAAGAAUUCUGAUAUAGUUAGUUCUGUUGAUGAUAAACAACAUUUGUGUUCAGCUUGUAUUUCUAGAAAAAUUUCAAGAUUACCAUUUGUAGAUGGGAAAGAGUCUUCUGUUUUUCCUUUUCAAAAGACUCAUUAUGAUCUUUGGGGUCCUUCACGUACAAAGUUGAUAGAAGGUUACAAAUACUAUGUGAGUUUUGUUGAUGAUUUUACCAGUUAUAUAUGGAUAUACCCAUUGAUCAAUAAAUCAGAAGUUUUUAAUGUUUUU